UUUACUUCCAUGUGGGAAAAAGGGUCUCCAUUCCUCUCUCCUGAAUCUAGAGCAAAGGUCAACCAAAGCCAUUAGUAGACUCAGUGCUCUCCAGCUGCCAAAACGAGUAUCUUAUCAACCAAGCGUGGGGGCUGAGAGCCAACCUGGGAGGGGCUGAGCGGGUGCCUCUGGACCAGAGACUGAGAUCCCGCAGCCCACGGAGAGGACAGACUCUCCCGAUAGACAACCCGAGGAGACCACCUGAUGAAGAAGGACCGGAAGUGUUUUACACGCAAACUCAUUCACAAAUAGAUUCAUCAAGGGGGACAGUUACCAAGUGAGAUUAAAGCCGUGGGAAGUUCAAGCGAUGAUGGAGGAAGGUAGGUGAGGAAAGGCGUAAAUGGAGGAGAGGAAUGAAUGGACAUGGAGAAAGGCGAGAGGGGACAAACAAGUCAGAGGAGAAAUGAGCAGGAACGUUGGACUUCGAACGGAAGCAGGCGCCCCGGGGCUGACGUGGUCAGGACAACCCGGAAGCCUGGCCUGGAGGGGCCAAACGACGGCCACUCGCAGAGCAGGGGCGGACGCAGAGCUGGCACACGAACACCAGCCUCCUCCGGGGUCGGGGGUGAACCCCGGCCUCACCCUCCUCUCAGGCCGGCUGGAGGGCGGGCGUGAAGGACAGCGGAGGAGGGGGAGAGGCAGCCGUUACCCUGGGGCGCACCUCUCGGCACCCUGUAAGCUCCAGGCCCGCCAGCGGCUGGGCACGCUCCACAGAGACGUGAGUACAAGCACCUUGAAUGCCUGGUCCACAAGAAGCACGAGCAUUCGCAGCUCUUUGAUUGGCCCUGUUCCCUGUGACUCCAGUGGAAUUGCUGGUCCCUGCUCCCACUUCCUGGGCCCGUCACUGGCGCUGACAAGGCUCCGCCCCUCCCCACAGCACAGGACGGGCGCACAGCGAUCCUCGCCGUGA
rnacentral:lncRNA from 1 species